GUUGGCUGGCAUGGCAGGAAUGGCCACAAGUCCCAACCCCAAACCCAACUGACACCCAUCCUGGGUUCCUGCAGGGCGGGGCCCGUGGGCAGCAUUGGGCAUCCUCUGCUGGAAAAGGAACCAAGGGCAUCCACAGCCCCAGGACCUGGGCUUGGACAGGCAAUACAGCUACAGAUGGGUAUCCUGAGGCCCAGCCACAGAGCGUGUACACCCCCAGCUUAUGGGGUCAAGGAGAGGCAGAAUCAGGCAGGAGUUGAAGUUUUUCAUGUCUGAAUUUUCUAAGUUUCCUCAAAA